GACGAACGCUGGCGGCGUGCUUAACACAUGCAAGUCGAACGGAAAGGCCCUGCUUUUGUGGGGUGCUCGAGUGGCGAACGGGUGAGUAACACGUGAGUAACCUGCCCUUGACUUUGGGAUAACUUCAGGAAACUGGGGCUAAUACCGGAUAGGAGCUCCUGCUGCAUGGUGGGGGUUGGAAAGUUUCGGCGGUUGGGGAUGGACUCGCGGCUUAUCAGCUUGUUGGUGGGGUAGUGGCUUACCAAGGCUUUAACGGGUAGCCGGCCUGGGAGGGUGACCGGCCACAUUGGGACUGAGGUACGGCCCAGACUCCUACGGGAGGCAGCAGUGGGGAAUAUGGCACAAUGGGCGGAAGCCUGAUGCAGCAACGCCGCGUGCGGGAUGACGGCCUUCGGGUUGUAAACCGCUUUCGCCUGUGACGAAGCGUGAGUGACGGUAAUGGGUAAAGAAGCACCGGCUAACUACGUG
rnacentral:rRNA from 1 species